rfam:Sus scrofa isolate TJ Tabasco breed Duroc chromosome 1, whole genome shotgun sequence.
UCCCUGGUGGCCUGGUGGUUAAGGAUUUGGCAUUGUCACUGCUAUGGCUUGGGUUCGAUCCCUAGCCUGGGAA